UCACACAAGAAACCCAAAUUAACCGUAUGCGGCGUAAAGAGUGGUGCCAUGAUACCAUAACAACUAGGAUUGAAAUGUAACUAGGCUGUCAUAAGCUCAAGAUACACCUAAGAUCGCCCUUAAGAUGAUCCUAGUACCUCUGAUUAAUUCAACCCCACGAAAGCUAGGGCACAAACUGGGAUUAGAUACCCCAUUAUGCCUAGCCCUAAAUCUUGAUGCUUGCCAUACCAAAGCAUCCGCCCGAGAACUACGAGCACAAACGCUUAAAACUCUAAGGACUUGGCGGUGCCCCAAACCCACCUAGAGGAGCCUGUUCUAUAAUCGAUAACCCACGAUUCACCCAACCACCCCUCGCCAGAAGCAGCCUACAUACCGCCGUCGCCAGCCCACCUUCCCUGAGAGUCCCACAGUGAGCAUAACAGCCCAAGUCCGCUAGUAAGACAGGUCGAGGUAUAGCCCAUGGGGUGGAAGAAAUGGGCUACAUUUUCUAUAAUAGAAAA
rnacentral:rRNA from 1 species